rnacentral:misc_RNA from 1 species
UCUCGUGUUUAUGAGAUUAUGCCGGAGAAGGUUUUCUCGGUUUGCCUCCGGAGGGCUUGUAGCUCAGUUGGUUAGAGCGCGCGCUUGAUAAGCGUGAGGUCGGAGGUUCAAGUCCUCCCAGGCCCACCAUCUUUAUAAGGGCUUAUAAUGGCACUUAUGAAAAGUUUGUUCCGCUUUUCACUUUUUCUUAAAGCAGUUCAAACUCUAAGGGUUUUAAUCCUUCUUUGUUUUAAGGGGCCGUAGCCCCCUUGGAAAAGCCCCGGUUUUGCGA